rnacentral:misc_RNA from 1 species
UUAUGAUCAAGACAUGCCCAAUUCAAAUGAGGCUUAAGCGAUGGGAGAGGAAGAAGUGUAAACCAAACAGUCUUCCUGUCCUGCACAAGAUGCAUGUUAGGAUUGGCGAUACAGUACAAGUCAUUGCAGGCCGUGAGAAAGGUAAAGUUGGAGAAGUUACGCGGCUUUUUAAGCACAACAGCACUGUAAUAGUGAAGGACUUGAACUUGAAGUCCAAGCACAAGAAAGGAACAGAAGAUGAACCGGG